rnacentral:tRNA from 1 species
GUGUCGGUUAGCUCAGUCAGUUGAGCAUGGCGCUAACAACGCCAAGGAUGAGGGUUCGAUUCCUGCUCGGUCCC